GAAAGUCGGGUCCGGAGGCGGGGUGAAUGCGGUGGGUGUAGGUGUUGUCCUGAUUGAUUGGGCGUAAAGAGCUAGUAGGCGGGUUGGUAAUGCGGAGGUGAAAUCGCCAGGCGCAACCGGGAGGGGUCAGUCGAUACUGCCAUGACUAGAGUUCGGUAUGGGAGUGUGGAAUUCCUGGUGGAGCGGUGAAAUGCGCAGAUAUCAGGAGGAACACCCGUAGCGAAGGCGGCACUCUGGGCCGAUACUGACGCUGAGGAGCGAAAGCGUGGGGAGCGAACAGGAUUAGAUACCCCUGUAGUC
rnacentral:rRNA from 1 species